GCAUCGCCCGACCGUGAGGCCGGGCGCGGAUUGAAAC
rfam:Thiobacillus sp. 65-1059 scnpilot_expt_750_p_scaffold_735, whole genome shotgun sequence.